GGUUAUAAAAUCAUUUUCCUCGCUUUUCCCUCCCCAAACAAACAAAAACAUUUUCCAUCCUCGCUUUCUGGGUUUUGUCCAUUUUCCUUCGCCUUCUGCGUCUCAGUCAGCAGCAGCCGCAGCACCCGUCGGAAAAUGGACGUUCGCCGGAGACCCAUCCCCGCCGGCGAACGCCUCAAAACCCAGAACCAGCAAACUCCCACCUCCGCCCCUGCCCUCACCAACGCUGUAUUUUUCACCCUCUUCUUCUCCGUCAUCUACUUCCUCCUCCACCGCUGGCGCGAGAAGAUUCGGAACUCCACCCCUCUCCACGUCGUCACCGCCUCCGAGACCGCCGCCAUCGUCUCCCUCCUCUCCUCCGCCCUCUACCUCCUCGGCUUCUUCUUCCGCGCCUCCCCCGACGACGACCUCUCCGACGACGAGGUCAUGGCCAAGGAAGAUUCCCGUAACCCUGGACCAUGCCCCGCCGCACUCAUCGACUCCUGCGCAGCGUUGAAGCCAGAGAAAGCAGCGGCAGCGGCGGUGACGGUGACGGUGAAGAAGCCGGUGCCGGUGCCGGUGCCUACCGAACUAUCAAUGGAAGACGAGGAGAUCGUGAAAUCGGUUGUCUCUGGUUCGAUCCCAUCGUACUCGCUGGAAUCGAGGAUCGGAGAUUGCGGCAGGGCGGCGGCGAUUCGGCGCGAGGCGGUGGAGAGGAUAACAGGGAGGUCGUUGGAGGGUUUGCCAUUGGGAGGGUUCGACUACGCGUCGAUAUUGGGGCAGUGCUGCGAGAUGCCGAUAGGGUUUGUGCAGAUUCCGGUGGGUGUGGCGGGUCCGUUGUUGCUGGACGGGAAGGAGUACACAGUGCCGAUUGGGUUGUCUCGUGGCUAGCACCAACAGAGGGUGUAAGGCGAUUCAUGCUUCCGGUGGUGCUUCUGCGUGUUUGCUGAGGGAUGGCAUGACUAGAGCCCCUGUUGUUCGCUUCGCCACUGCGAAGAGAGCUGCACAGUUGAAAUUCUACCUCGAAGAUCCCCUCAAUUUUGAUUCCCUUGCUGUUGUUUUCAAUAGGUCAAGCAGAUUUGCUAGGUUACAGAGCAUUCAACCUGCUAUUGCUGGCAAGAAUUUGUACAUUAGAUUCCGUUGCAGCACUGGCGAUGCCAUGGGGAUGAACAUAGUGUCCAAAGGUGUCCAAAAUGUACUUGAUUUCCUUCAGAGCGACUUCCCUGACAUGGAUGUUAUUGGAAUCUCUGGAAAUUUCUGUUCCGACAAGAAAGCUGCAGCUGUGAACUGGAUUGAAGGGCGUGGCAAGUCUGUUGUCUGCGAGGCUAUAAUUAAGGAAGAGGUGGUGAAGAAGGUAUUAAAGACUAGUGUGGAGGCACUAGUCGAGCUUAACAUGCUUAAGAACCUGACUGGCUCAGCAAUUGCUGGUGCUCUGGGUGGGUUUAAUGCCCAUGCUAGCAACAUUGUCACUGCUGUCUUCCUUGCCACUGGUCAGGAUCCUGCACAGAAUGUGGAGAGUUCUCAAUGCAUCACCAUGAUGGAAGCUGUGAAUGAUGGCAAGGACCUUCACAUUUCCGUCACCAUGCCUUCGAUUGAGGUUGGUACUGUUGGAGGGGGCACACAACUCGCAUCUCAGUCGGCUUGUCUUAAUUUACUUGGUGUCAAGGGUGCCAGUAAAGAAGCUCCAGGUGCAAAUUCUAGGCUAUUGGCCACCAUAGUAGCUGGUUCCGUCCUUGCUGGGGAGCUAUCACUGAUGUCUGCAAUUGCUGCCGGGCAACUCGUUAAGAGCCACAUGAAAUACAACAGAUCUAGCAAGGAUAUCUCCAAAAUUGUCUCAUAGAGCAGUGGUAAAAUUGUGGUGAAUAAACAUGAUGAUUGACAUGAGUAAAUCCAGCUCCCCAAGUGCAUGUGGUAAGAACCAUGUUAAGAAAGCCUGUAAAACUUAUUGAAUAUCUGGUUCAUGCGAGGCAUUGUCUCUUUUUGAGAUUGUACAGAGGGAGUUGAAUGAGGGGACGGAGAAAAACAAGAAGUAGCUACACCUUUGGCGUUAGGUUUAUUCUUUCUUUCUCCCCUUUUUAAAAAGAAAUAAUCAUUUGUAUUGUGUAUUAUUAUCUCGUCUAAAGCUUCUGCCUAGUGCCUUAAAGUGUUAUUUAGGGUGUAGAGUAUUUUAUUGUUGUAAUCUCCAACUUCUUGUUGAUUUGUAUUUUGAGCAAUCUCCAAAUGGGAUGUAGAGUUGUUAGUAA